UACGGAGGGUGCGAGCGUUGUCCGGAAUCAUUGGGCGUAAAGGGCGCGUAGGUGGCCCGGUCAGCGUGCGGUGAAAGCUCGGGGCUCAACCCCGAGUCGGCCGUGCGAACUGCUGGGCUUGAGCACUGUAGAGGCAGGCGGAAUUCCGGGUGUAGCGGUGGAAUGUGUAGAGAUCCGGAAGAACACCGGUGGCGAAGGCGGCCUGCUGGGCAGUGGCUGACACUGAGGCGCGACAGCGUGGGGAGCAAACAGG
rnacentral:rRNA from 1 species